AAGCGCCUUCCACAAGUCGUGGUUGUUGCUUGUUGGUUCCCUCUGCAGAUCCAUCUCCCAGAUCGUAGAAUGCCGCGACUUCAGGAGAGAGCUCCUUCCUUCGCUUGAGGCGCGUGUUGUCUUCCCGUCUUCUCGUUCCAAUCCCAAGAUUCGAUCUGCUAUUUUCAUUCAGACGAUGUACUUUUGGAUAGUCAAACUGUGAAACUCGGUUGUCUGGUGUGCGCUGGAUCUGGUUCUUGGUGUAAGAUUGUUAAGAGGAAGGAGGAUCGGCUUCUUGUUGGAUAGAAAAUGGGGUACAUUGGGCACCAUGGAGUGGCAACGCUGCAUAGAUAUAAAUACAGUGGCGUGGAUAACUCGCUAGUUGCCAAGUAUGUGUUGCAGCCGUUUUGGAGUCGCUGCGUCGCGCUUUUCCCUCUCUGGAUGCCGCCAAACCUGAUUACUCUCACAGGACUUAUGUUCUUAGUUAUAUCAGCACUUCUUGGCUAUAUUUAUUCACCUCGUCUAGACGCAGCUCCACCAAGAUGGGUUCACCUUGCUCAUGGAUUGCUUCUAUUCUUAUACCAGACUUUUGAUGCUGUAGACGGUAAACAAGCAAGGCGGACCAAUUCAUCAAGUCCAUUGGGAGAACUUUUUGAUCAUGGUUGUGAUGCACUGACAUGUGCUUUUGAAGCCUUGGCUUUUGGGAGCACCGCAAUGUGUGGUGGAACUACUUUUUGGUUUUGGGUUAUUGCAGCUGUACCUUUUUAUUUCGCAACAUGGGAGCACUUCUUUACAAAUACCCUUAUUCUUCCAAUAUUCAAUGGACCUACAGAAGGCCUCAUGUUGAUAUAUGUUUGUCAUUGGAUUACAUUCUUUUUGGGAGCUGAAUGGUGGGCAGAGGAUUUCAGAAAAUCUAUUCCUCUCAUGGAUUGGGUGCCAUUUGAUAGCAAGAUUCCUACUUAUGGAGUUGUGUUGUUCAUUAUGAUUAUUUUUGCUGUAAUUCCGACUAUUAGCUCCAACAUUAGUAAUGUCAACAAGGUUGUUCGAGCAAGAAAAGGAAGCAUGUUGUUAGCACUAGCAAUGGUCUAUCCUUUUGGUGUGCUAAUGGCAGGAGUUCUUGUCUGGUGGUACUUGUCCCCUUCAGAUGUUAUGCGUGAGCAUCCACAUUUGCUUAUAGUUGGAACUGGAUUUGCUUUUGGCUUUCUUGUGGGGAGGAUGAUUCUUGCACACCUAUGUGAUGAACCCAAGGGUUUGAAGACUGGAAUGUGCAUGUCUCUGCUGUUUCUUCCUCUUGCUAUUGCAAAUGCUCUAACUGCCAAGCUCAAUGAUGGAGAACCUCUAGUAGAUGAGUACAUUGUCCUCCUUGUGUAUUGCUUGUUCACAGGUAAUUUACUGUAUCUAUAUUCAGAUUACCAAAACAACCCUAUAAUGUGUUUGGUUCAUAGGCAUACCUAUUUUAUUUCCUAUGAAUUUACAUGGAAUAAAUAUAUUUCUAUUUUUCAUUUCAAAAAUGAGAUUGGAAUUUACUGAUUCCAAUGGAACAUAGAUUCCCUAUUUUUUUAUUUUUAGUUAUUGCUUACCUAUUCAAAGAAAUAACUAUUUCUCGUUUAUCCAUUCUCCAAAGAUGCUUAUUCUUUUUUUAUUCCAUUUUCCUAAGAAUGUAUUAUGAGCCAAUAAAGUUGAGCGGUUGGGACGACUCAAUUGGUCUGGCUGACGAAUGAGCAAUAAUGAUUGUACAGGCUAGUCAAGUAAGCUGGGGCAGUUGAGUAAAUUGCUUUGGACCGAAUGGAUUGAGCCAGCUUGAUAAGCUAGUCGGGCUCAUAUGAUCAGCUGGGCUGGGUAAUCUAGAUUGCUCAGCUGGAUGAACCAAUCAAGAUAGGCGGGUUGAAUGCAUCAAACCAAUGAGUUGAAUUAGGCUACGUGGUUGGAUGCAUUGUGAGGGUUGAUGAUUUGGAUACAACAGUUGGUUGAGCAUGCCAAAUGCAUUGGUUGAGUGGCACACUAGUUGAGCUGAGAGGAUUAAACAAACUAAACUAGUUGAGUGGGUUGAACAGUAGUGAGUAAAUGCUUAGGUUGAGCGAGUUAGGCAACUAAUAUAGUCUUUUAGGUGAUUGAAUGUGUUGGUUGGAUCUGAUGGAUCAGCAAUCCAGGCAUCUCGGAUGGGCUAUGUAGAUUUGUUGAGCUAACUUUGGUCAAGUCGAGAUUGAUCAGGCUUUGUAGGCUCCACAGGUUGAAGAACUGAGAUACCUAGGCUGGUUGGUUUAUUGGGUCAAGCAAGAUAAUGCAAGCUAAAUGAGUUGAAUAAAAAUAUUUCAUAUUGGGGGCAAAUGUAGCGUCAGAAUUGAAAAAAAAUCCAUCUAUUUGAUUUCAUGAACUAAAAAAUAGAUAUUCCUAUUUUCUUUUCAAUUUCAUUUUUCAUAGAAUCGCUUAUUUGUUCCUUAUCAAUUUCAUACGAAAUCAAAUUCACCAUUAAUGUACUCUUGGAAGCCAGAAAUAUCUUGGAUUCUCUUGGUCCAGCUAAGAUCUUGCUAGUAUAAAUUCACAAUGGCUAGAAUUAUAUUUUCCACUGUCUAAUAUCCACAGGAGGUGGAUCAACAACUUUUUUUUCACAAAGUUAUAUACAACUAAGAAUUGUAAUGAUCUAACAGUUAGAUCAUGUGACAAAGUUGCUUCCUCUUAAAAUUGAUACUUACAUUCUGUACGGCCUCUUUUUUUUUUCUUAGUCUUUUUUUGUAGCUUGCUUUCUUUGUUGUUUGAACCCUUUUAUUUAACAACAGUGGGACUCUACCUGCAUUUUGCCACGUCCGUUAUCCAUGAGAUAACCACAGCUCUGGGCAUUCUCUGCUUCAGGAUAACCAGGAAAGAGGCCUGAGAAAGGGUCUUCAUUUGCUGUUCUUUGUGCGUUUUUUAUUGUUGGAUUAUUGGCAUUGGCAAGGCAGCAAGCACUACAAAAUCCAUUUGUUGUGAUAUAUGAACUUUCCCGUUGUAUUAAAUCAAUCCGUGUGGGAAAUCCUUUCUUGUGAAAGAAAACGACAUUAGCAGUUUAAGAUGAGAAACUGUUGCAAUUAUAGAUUUGCGUGCAGAAUGUUUGAAAUUGCAGCACCAUCAUGUUGGCAGAAUGGAAUUUAUAUAAUUCUAAAACAAACUACAAUUGGAUUACCAUUUUACUA